rnacentral:misc_RNA from 1 species
UUAAGUUCAGCGGGUAUCCCUACCUGAUCCGAGGUCAACCUUAGAAAUGGGGUUGUUUUACGGCGUAGCCUCCCGAACACCCUUUAGCGAAUAGUUUCCACAACGCUUGGAGGGACAGAAGCCCAGCCGGUCGAUUUGAGGCACGCGGCGGACCGCGUUGCCCAAUACCAAGCGAGGCUUGAGUGGUGAAAUGACGCUCG